rnacentral:lncRNA from 1 species
UUAUAGCACAGAGCAGCAGUCAGACAUUGUGGUGCCUCUACAAAAGCAAGGUUCUGCAGCAGGAGAAAGAAACCCUGGCAGGCCUGAGCAUGUGUUUACUAGAAGGAAUGGAAGUCUAGCUCAGAUAUUAAAACUUGUGCUUACUGUUUGUGCUUGCAGAAAAGGAAAGGAGUCCAAUGCAUGGUGGCAAGAAUUAAUUAGCAAAAGAAAUGCACAGCCAUUGUAAAAAGAGUUUUACACGUAGAUCAUAAUGUCUUCACUUUCUUUCCCACAAGUAAUGCCUACGCAGUUUCACUGGUGAGAGGGUCUUAUGAGCCAUCCAGAGAAAAGCUUCCAUAUUUCCCUUCCAGAAGACCUGCUUGCAGUCCUGGAAUUUUGAAAGUGUGGGGAAAGCAGUCAAGCCCGCGCGGAGCGAUUGUGAGGGGCUCUGCUGGAAUUUGGCAGCGCGGAGGCUUGGAGAGAAGCCCCAUGCUGGCUCCCAUUCAGCCGGCCCGUUUUCCUCGAGCUUUGGAAGUUUCACUCAGCCGUGCACUCAAUGGCUUCACAAAGCUGAUUACAAGCUUCAGCGCAUUCCUGAAGGAGCCAAAAGCGACGCAGGUGCAAACGAGCCGAGGGAGCCCCUUAUCCCGGUGACAGAAUGGGACAAGCUAGGAAAGGCUUGGACCACACAAAUCCAAGGCUCACCAGGCAGCAGAAAGCCUGCCUUGGGAACCGGGGGUCAUUAUCCGCCCUAUUCAGCGGGGCCCGGGGACCCUGGGGGCCCAGCAAGGCUAGCCCGGGCGGGAGCACCGCCGCCAGCGCGCGCGGGCGACAGGG